GAUUCGCUAGUAAUCGCGCAUCAGCCAUGGCGCGGUGAAUACGUUCCCGGGCCUUGUACACACCGCCCGUCAAGCCAUGGGAGCCGGGGGCGCCUGAAGUCCGGGACCGCGAGGACCGGCCUAGGGCGAAACUGGUAACUGGGGCUAAGUCGUAACAAGGUACC
rnacentral:rRNA from 1 species